AUUGAACGCUGGCGGCAUGCUUUACACAUGCAAGUCGAACGAGUGGCGCACGGGUGAGUAAUACAUCGGAACGUGUCCUAUCGUGGGGGAUAACUGAUCGAAAGAUCAGCUAAUACCGCAUACGCUUGGAGCGGCCGCUGCCCGAUUAGCUAGUUGGUGAGGUAAAGGCUCACCAAGGCGACGAUCGGUAGCUGGUCUGAGAGGACGACCAUCCACACGGGGACGAAGACACGGCCCAGACUCCUACGGGAGGCAGCGGUGGGGAAUUUUGGAAAUGGGGGGCAACCCGGCUCAAGACAUGCCGCGUGCAGGAGGAAGGUCUUCGGAUUGUAAGCUGCUUUUGUCAGGGAAGCGGUACCGGAAGAAUAAGCACCGGCUAACUACGUGCCAGCAGCCGCGGUAAUUC
rnacentral:rRNA from 1 species